AGAGUUUGAUCAUGGCUCAGAAUGAACGCUGGCGGCAUGGCUAAGACAUGCAAGUCGUACGGAACGUAGCAAUACGUUCAGUGGCGGAAGGGUGAGUAAUACAUAGGUAAUGUACCUUGGUCACCGGAACAACCGUGGGAAACUGCGGCUAAUGCCGGAUAAAGUCGUAGGGAGACAUCUCCCGACGUCCAAAGGACGGGGACCGCAAGGCCUGUCGGACUUUGAGCAGCCUAUGGCCUAUCAGCUAGUUGGCGAGGUAAUGGCUCACCAAGGCUUAGACGGGUAGCCGGACUGAGAGGUCGGCCGGCCACAUCGGGACUGAGACACUGCCCGGACACCUACGGGUGGCUGCAGUAACGAAUAUUGGGCAAUGGGCGCAAGCCUGACCCAGCAAUGCCGCGUGUGGGAGGAAGUCCUUCGGGUUGUAAAGCCCUUUUAGCACUGACGAGAACAAGGACGGUAGGUGCUGAAGAAGUCUCGGCUAACUACGUGCCAGCAGCCGCGGUAAUUC
rnacentral:rRNA from 1 species